AUAGUGGCUCAAACGCAGGUGCUAAUAGCAAAGGGAACCUCAUAGCCUUAGGAGGACUUCCUGGACCCUUCAAAAUGAAUUUAGAGGUUCUACACAC
rnacentral:snoRNA from 1 species